rnacentral:rRNA from 1 species
UACGUAGGGUGCGAGCGUUGUCCGGAAUUAUUGGGCGUAAAGAGCUUGUAGGCGGUCUGUCGCGUCUGCUGUGAAAGUCCAGGGCUCAACCCUGGAAGGCCGGUGGAAACUGUCGGGCUAGAGUCCGGAAGAGGCGAGUGGAAUUCCCGGUGUAGCGGUGAAAUGCGCAGAUAUCGGGAGGAACACCAAUGGCGAAGGCAGCUCGCUGGGACGGUACUGACGCUGAGACGCGAAAGCGUGGGAGCAACAGG